rnacentral:rRNA from 1 species
CACCGCCCGUCACAUCACGAAAGCCUUUUGUACUAGAAGCCGGCAAUUCAACCGCAAGGAGAUAGCCGUCCAAGAUAUGAAUGGUGAUUGGGGUG